CGGGUUGUUGCUGGCCCCCAAACCGGGCACGUGCACGCCCUGUUUACGCAUCCACUCACACCUGUGCACCCUCUGUAGUUCUGUGGACCGGGAGACGUCGUCUUCCUUCCGUGGCUCUACGUCUUUACACACACGCCGUAGCGAAGUCUCAUGGAAUGUUUUUCGCGUUUAACGCAAUACAAUACAACUUUCAGCAACGGAUCUCUUGGCUCUCGCAUCGAUGAAGAACGCAGCGAAAUGCGAUAAGUAAUGUGAAUUGCAGAAUUCAGUGAAUCAUCGAAUCUUUGAACGCACCUUGCGCCCCUUGGUCAUUCCUCGGGGCAUGCCUGUUUGAGUAUCAUGAACACCUCAACUCUCGUGGUCUUCCAUGAUGAGCUUGGACUUUGGGGGUUUGCUGGCCCUGUGGCCGGCUCCUCUCAAACGAAUCAGCUUGCCAGUGUUUGGCGGCGUCACGGGUGUGAUAACCAUCUACGCUUGCGAUCGCCUGCCAGAUAACCCUCAGCGAUGAAGGUUCAUUGGGGCUCACAAAAGUCUCUCCACGGCGAGGACGAAUUUUGAAUGUUCGAUCUCAAAUCAGGUAGGACUACCCGCUGAACUUAAGCAUAUCAAUAAGCGGAGGAAAAGAAACUAACAAGGAUUCCCCUAGUAACUGCGAGUGAAGCGGGAAGAGCUCAAAUUUAAAAUCUGGCGUGCCUCCGGUCGUCCGAAUUGUAGUCUGGAGAAGCGUUUUCCGUGCUGGACCGUGUACAAA
rnacentral:rRNA from 1 species